rnacentral:rRNA from 2 species
GGAUUAGUGGCGAACGGGUGAGUAACACGUGGGUAAUCUGCCCUGCACUCUGGGAUAAGCCUUGGAAACGAGGUCUAAUACCGGAUAUGACACACGGAGGCAUCUCCUGUGUGUGGAAAGUUCCGGCGGUGCAGGAUGAACCCGCGGCCUAUCAGCUUGUUGGUGGGGUAGUGGCCUACCAAGGCGACGACGGGUAGCCGGCCUGAGAGGGUGACCGGCCACACUGGGACUGAGACACGGCCCAGACUCCUACGGGAGGCAGCAGUGGGGAAUCUUGCGCAAUGGGCGAAAGCCUGACGCAGCAACGCCGCGUGGGGGAUGACGGCCUUCGGGUUGUAAACCUCUUUCGACAGGGACGAAGCUUUCGGGUGACGGUACCUGUAGAAGAAGCACCGGCUAACUACGUGCCAGCAGCCGCGGUAAUACGUAGGGUGCGAGCGUUGUCCGGAUUUAUUGGGCGUAAAGAGCUCGUAGGCGGUUUGUCGCGUCGGCCGUGAAAACCUGCAGCUUAACUGUGGGCGUGCGGUCGAUACGGGCAGACUUGAGUUCGGCAGGGGAGACUGGAAUUCCUGGUGUAGCGGUGAAAUGCGCAGAUAUCAGGAGGAACACCGGUGGCGAAGGCGGGUCUCUGGGCCGAUACUGACGCUGAGGAGCGAAAGCAUGGGGAGCGAACAGGAUUAGAUACCCUGGUAGUCCAUGC